GUAGGGAAUAUUGGACAAUGGGGGCAACCCUGAUCCAGCGACGCCGCGUGAGUGAUGAAGGCCUUCGGGUCGUAAAGCUCUGUUGCAGGGGAAGAACACAAUGACGGUACCCUGCUAGAAAGGAUCGGCUAACUUCGUGCCAGCAGCCGCGGUAAGACGAGGGAUCCUAGCGUUGUUCGGAAUGAUUGGGCGUAAAGCGGGUGCAGGUGGCUUGGUAAGUCAGAUGUGAAAGCCUGGGGCUUAACCCCAGAAGUGCAUUUGAUACGGCUGAGCUUGAGUGCUUGAGAGGCUAUUAGAAUGCCUGUGGUAGUGGUGAAAUACGUAGAUAUCAGGAGGAAUACCGGAGGCGAAGGCGGAUAGCUGGCCAGACACUGACACUCAGACCCAAAAGCGUGGGGAUCAAACAGGAUUAGAACCCCCGGUAGUCC
rnacentral:rRNA from 1 species